rnacentral:rRNA from 1 species
UGGGGAAUUUUCCGCAAUGGGCGAAAGCCUGACGGAGCAACGCCGCGUGGGUGAUGAAGGAUUUCGGUCUGUAAAGCCCUUUCGGUUGGGAAGAGACGAAGACGGUACCAACUAAAGAAGCAUCGGCUAACUACGUGCCAGCAGCCGCGGUAAUACGUAGGAUGCAAGCGUUAUCCGGAUUUAUUGGGCGUAAAGCGAACGUAGGCGGUUCGUUAAGUCUGGGGUUAAAGAUCAAGGCUCAACCUUGGGAAUGCCUCGGAAACUGACAGACUCGAGGGCGGAAGAGGAAAGUGGAAUUCCCAGUGUAGCGGUGAAAUGCGUAGAUAUUGGGAGGAACACCAGUGGCGAAAGCGACUUUCUGGUCCGUUCCUGACGCUGAGGUUCGAAAGCCAGGGGAGCAAACGG